AAGAAAUGGCAAUCAAGUUAGUUUUUGUUGCACCGACUGUCUCUAGAGCAAGUGGCAAAAGGUUUGGUGGUUGGUAUUCGAGAUCCCAAGUUCGAAUUCUACUUGAUUCACAUUUUCAGCUAAGUUUAUUUCUAAAUGAAAUAAACGAAGCAGGUAGCGUACUAUCUAUCUCUUAAAAAAAAAAAGUGAGUUUUUGUUGUGAUCCUUAUUAUCUUUUCUGCCAUGGUUCAAGCAAAUGUCGGAGUAACUCCAGUGGUAACUGGGGUUUCCGAGUAAAGCACAAUGAUGAUAAGUGCUGCACGAAAGGCUGUUGCAAUCAAUGCUGCAAAAUGAGCCCAUACGGACUUCUUCAGGAGGAGAUUCAAAUUCAUUUCAUAGUUAGUUUUAUCGUUAUAUGGCACUUAGGUGUUUGUGUGCUGAUGUUGGUUUUUCCUAUGCAGUAGUUUGAUUAUGUGUGUUGUGAUUAAGUUUUUAGAAAGUGUAUAUUGUAUGCUGUCAUAUAGGUAAUUUAUGAAUAUGCGUGUUGUUAUAAAUAUGUUUUUUUUUUUUUUUUUUUUUUUUUUUUGAGAGAGAUAGGUAGCAUGCUACCCGUUUCGUUUAUUUCAUUUAGAAAUAAAUUUAGCUGGAAAUGUAAAUCAACUAGGAUUCGAACUUGGGUCUCGGGUACCAACCACCAAGCUCUUUGCCACUUGCUCUAGGGACGGUCGGCGUUGUUAUAAAUAUGUUGAAAAAAUAUUACUGUAUCAGUGAUAAUGUCAUGUAUGUUGUUAUUAAU
rnacentral:lncRNA from 1 species